rnacentral:rRNA from 1 species
UGCAAGUCGAACGAGAGAAUUGCUAGCUUGCUAAUAAUUCUCUAGUGGCGCACGGGUGAGUAACACGUGAGUAACCUGCCCCCGAGAGCGGGAUAGCCCUGGGAAACUGGGAUUAAUACCGCAUAGUAUCGAAAGAUUAAAGCAGCAAUGCGCUUGGGGAUGGGCUCGCGGCCUAUUAGUUAGUUGGUGAGGUAACGGCUCACCAAGGCGAUGACGGGUAGCCGGUCUGAGAGGAUGUCCGGCCACACUGGAACUGAGACACGGUCCAGACACCUACGGGUGGCAGCAGUCGAGAAUCGUUCACAAUGGGGGAAACCCUGAUGGUGCGACGCCGCGUGGGGGAAUGAAGGUCUUCGGAUUGUAAACCCCUGUCAUGUGGGAGCAAAUUAAAAAGAUAGUACCACAAGAGGAAGAGACGGCUAACUCUGUGCCAGCAGCCGCGGUAAUACAGAGGUCUCAAGCGUUGUUCGGAAUCACUGGGCGUAAAGCGUGCGUAGGCUGUUUCGUAAGUCGUGUGUGAAAGGCGCGGGCUCAACCCGCGGACGGCACAUGAUACUGCGAGACUAGAGUAAUGGAGGGGGAACCGGAAUUCUCGGUGUAGCAGUGAAAUGCGUAGAUAUCGAGAGGAACACCCGUGGCGAAGGCGGGUUCCUGGACAUUAACUGACGCUGAGGCACGAAGGCCAGGGGAGCGAAAGGGAUUAGAUACCCCUGUAGUCCUGGCAGUAAACGGUGCACGCUUGGUGUGCGGGGAAUCGACCCCCUGCGUGCCGGAGCUAACGCGUUAAGCGUGCCGCCUGGGG